rnacentral:rRNA from 1 species
AUCGCUGCCCAGUGACUGAGGUUAAACGGCCGCGGUAUUCUGACCGCGCAAAGGUAGCAUAAUUACUUGUUCCUUAAUUAGGGACUAGAAUGAACGGCUGUACGAGGGUUUAACUGUCUCUUAUUUCUUAUCCGUGAAACUGACCUUUCCGUGAAGAGGCGGGAAUAACAAAACAAGACGAGAAGACCCUAUGGAGCUUUAACUUAUUACCUAAUUUCAACUAAUAGUAAUCUAUUGAAAUAAAAUCUGAAAACUAGGUUAAUGAUUUAGGUUGGGGUGACCUCGGAGAAUAAAAUAACCUCCGAAAGAUUUCAAUUAAGGCUGACAGGCCAGAAUAAGAAUAUUAAAAUCGACCCAUUAAUUUUGAUCGACGAACCAAGUUACCCUAGGGAUAACAGCGCAAUCCUAUUCAAGAGUUCCUAUCGAAAAUAGGGUUUACGACCUCGAUGUUGGAUCAGGAUGUCCCAAUGGUGCAGCAGCUAUUAAUGGUUCGUUUG